rnacentral:tRNA from 2 species
AGCGGAGUAGAGCAGGUGGAAGCUCGUUGGGCUCAUAAUCCAAAGGUCACUGGUUCGAAUCCAGUCUCCGCAACCA